rnacentral:tRNA from 1 species
GCCCUGGUAGCUCAACAGGAUAGAGCAAUCGCCUCCUAAGCGAUAGGUUGCGGAUUCGAUUUCCGCCUAGGGCA